UCAUAUCUCUCGAAAUCCUCCUCACCUCACGAGCAUAUGCCCCAGUCUCAAUCAACGAUGCUAUCUCCUUCAUGUCUGAAUAAACAACAAUUAUCCAAAAUACCUCCAAAAAAACAAAACAUUUAGUCAAAAAUAACAUACCCAAAAGAUGAAAAUCUAACUUGGGUUAAUUACACCAUAUAAAUCGAUUGUGAAGAGAGUUGUAGUAAGAUUUUACUUAUGGUGGAAGAUAGAAGGGGAUGCAGAUGUAAUGAAAUUGGAAGGAGGAGCUUGCUCCUCCAUCUCAACAUCUUUAGUCAUCUUUUUUCUUUGUUUGGAGAAAAAAAAUGUGAAAGAGAAAUGUUACUAUGAAGUAUUUGGGUGUGAAAGAAGAAAUGAUGAGUAUCAGAAGAAGAAAUCUACCGCGGCGUCUCCAUCAACUGUACUCCGAUUUGUAGCUCCAAUUUGUAGCUCUGAUUAAGGGAUUUUUCUACGAAAAUUUGAUUUGCUACAAAUUCGCGUUAGAUUUGGAUUGUGAAUUUUUCGAUUUGCUACAGAAAGAGGGAUUUUGAUAUUUUCCAAUUUCUACUUGAUUUUGAUAUUUUCUAAAGAAAGAGAAAUAUUUUUCUUCUAUAGAAAGAGAAAUAUUUUUUGGGCGGUCUUAAGUGAAAUAUUGUGGAGAGAAAUUAAAAAUAGAUGCAAUAGAUAAUUUUCUCACAUUAAGUGUUGCCAUAGAUGCUUC
rnacentral:lncRNA from 1 species